rnacentral:piRNA from 1 species
UGUCAGAUCCGAAAGAGGAUACCCA